AUGCGAAUCCGUGGCAACCGGACGCGAGGGAGAUGGAGAAUACGGAGAUUUUUCCGGUUUCUCUUCGUGGCCAACGAAAAGGCAGACGAGCUCCUUACCCCUUCGGCUU
rnacentral:sRNA from 1 species